ACUACGGGUGGCAGCAGUGGGGAAUAUUGCACAAUGGGGGAAACCCUGAUGCAGCAACGCCGCGUGAAGGAAGACGGUUUUCGGAUUGUAAACUUCUGUUAGUAGGGAAGAAGAAUGACGGUAGCUAAGGAGCAAGCCACGGCUAACUACGUGCCAGCAGCCGCGGUAAUACGUAGGUGGCAAGCGUUGUCCGGAAUUACGGGGUGUAAAGGGAGCGCAGGCGGGAAGCCAAGUCAGCUGUGAAAACUACGGGCUUAACUUGUAGACUGCAGUUGAAACUUGUUUUCUUGAGUGAAGUAGAGGUUGGCGGACUUCCGUGUGUAGCGGUGAAAUGCGUAGAUAUUCGGAGGAACACCGGUGGCGAAGGCGGCCCACUGGGCUUUAACUGCCGCUGAGGCUCGAAAGUGUGGGGAGCAAACAGGAUUAGAUACCCUUGUAGUC
rnacentral:rRNA from 1 species